UCUCUGGUAGUCUAAUGGUUAUGACUCCGAGCUCUCAAAGCAGGUGCCCUAGGUUCCAUCCCUGGUCAGGGAA
rnacentral:tRNA from 1 species